rnacentral:rRNA from 1 species
ACGCUCGACACCUACGGGAGCAGCAGUGGGGAAUAUUGCACAAUGGGGGAAACCCUGAUGCAGCGACGCCGCGUGAGUGAAGAAGUAUUUCGGUAUGUAAAGCUCUAUCAGCAGGGAAGAAGAUGACGGUACCUGAGUAAGAAGCCCCGGCUAACUACGUGCCAGUAGCCGCGGUAAUCUGAGCGGGCUGGCAAGGC